AUUUUUUUAAUAUAAAUAGUAUAUUUGAUUUCCAAUCAAAAAGUCUAAAUAAUUUAGAAAAAAUA
rnacentral:tRNA from 1 species